GUACACAAAAAUGCACAUAUUGUGAGCUCGAUGAGUAGGGCGGGACACGUGGUAUCCUGUCUGAAUAUGGGGGGACCAUCCUCCAAGGCUAAAUACUCCUGACUGACCGAUAGUGAACCAGUACCGUGAGGGAAAGGCGAAAAGAACCCCGGCGAGGGGAGUGAAAAAGAACCUGAAACCGUGUACGUACAAGCAGUGGGAGCCUCUUAAUGGGGUGACUGCGUACCUUUUGUAUAAUGGGUCAGCGACUUAUAUUCUGUAGCAAGGUUAACCGAAUAGGGGAGCCGAAGGGAAACCGAGUCUUAACUGGGCGUUAAGUUGCAGGGUAUAGACCCGAAACCCGGUGAUCUAGCCAUGGGCAGGUUGAAGGUUGGGUAACACUAACUGGAGGACCGAACCGACUAAUGUUGAAAAAUUAGCGGAUGACUUGUGGCUGGGGGUGAAAGGCCAAUCAAACCGGGAGAUAGCUGGUUCUCCCCGAAAGCUAUUUAGGUAGCGCCUCGUGAAUUCAUCUCCGGGGGUAGAGCACUGUUUCGGCAAGGGGGUCAUCCCGACUUACCAACCCGAUGCAAACUGCGAAUACCGGAGAAUGUUAUCACGGGAGACACACGGCGGGUGCUAACGUCCGUCGUGAAGAGGGAAACAACCCAGACCGCCAGCUAAGGUCCCAAAGUCAUGGUUAAGUGGGAAACGAUGUGGGAAGGCCCAGACAGCCAGGAUGUUGGCUUAGAAGCAGCCAUCAUUUAAAGAAAGCGUAAUAGCUCACUGGUCGAGUCGGCCUGCGCGGAAGAUGUAACGGGGCUAAACCAUGCACCGAAGCUGCGGCAGCGACACUAUGUGUUGUUGGGUAGGGGAGCGUUCUGUAAGCCUGUGAAGGUGGCCUGUGAGGGUUGCUGGAGGUAUCAGAAGUGCGAAUGCUGACAUAAGUAACGAUAAAGCGGGUGAAAAGCCCGCUCGCCGGAAGACCAAGGGUUCCUGUCCAACGUUAAUCGGGGCAGGGUGAGUCGACCCCUAAGGCGAGGCCGAAAGGCGUAGUCGAUGGGAAACAGGUUAAUAUUCCUGUACUUGGUGUUACUGCGAAGGGGGGACGGAGAAGGCUAUGUUGGCCGGGCGACGGUUGUCCCGGUUUAAGCGUGUAGGCUGGUUUUCCAGGCAAAUCCGGAAAACCAAGGCUGAGGCGUGAUGACGAAGCACUACGGUGCUGAAGCGACAAAUGCCCUGCUUCCAGGAAAAGCCUCUAAGCAUCAGGUAACAUCAAAUCGUACCCCAAACCGACACAGGUGGUCAGGUAGAGAAUACCAAGGCGCUUGAGAGAACUCGGGUGAAGGAACUAGGCAA
rnacentral:rRNA from 1 species